rnacentral:rRNA from 1 species
UACAGAGGGGGCAAGCGUUGUUCGGAAUUACUGGGCGUAAAGGGCGCGUAGGCGGCCUUCUAAGUCAGACGUGAAAUCCCCGGGCUCAACCCGGGAACUGCGUCUGAUACUGGAGGGCUUGAAUCCGGGAGAGGGAUGUGGAAUUCCAGGUGUAGCGGUGAAAUGCGUAGAUAUCUGGAGGAACACCGGUGGCGAAGGCGGCAUCCUGGACCGGUAUUGACGCUGAGGCGCGACAGCGUGGGGAGCAAACAGG